UCAUUACUUUUGUCUCAAAAAAAAAAAAAGAAAGAAAAGAAAAGCGGAUCCAGAAAUCUUGGAGACAGUUUCCUCUCCCUAUUCAAGAUCGAAUCCACCAACGAAAAAAGCGGUUCAAAAGGCUGCGCCUUCUGAUUAUACUUUGAAUUGAGUGUUUAAAGUGUAUCUGGUAUUGUGGCCAGAACUGGUGCUCUCAGCAUGGCAUUUUCAAGGAUUGCUAGGAAUGGCUUGAGAAGAGCAGGAGGCACCUUUGGUAGUUACGCAGAGAA
rnacentral:misc_RNA from 1 species